UGGGGAAUAUUGGACAAUGGGGGCAACCCUGAUCCAGCAAUGCCGCGUGUGUGAAGAAGGUCUUCGGAUUGUAAAGCACUUUCGACGGGGACGAUGAUGACGGUACCCGUAGAAGAAGCCCCGGCUAACUUCGUGCCAGCAGCCGCGGUAAUACGAAGGGGGCUAGCGUUGCUCGGAAUGACUGGGCGUAAAGGGCGUGUAGGCGGUUUACACAGUCAGAUGUGAAAUCCCCGGGCUUAACCUGGGAGCUGCAUUUGAUACGUGUAGACUAGAGUGUGAGAGAGGGUUGUGGAAUUCCCAGUGUAGAGGUGAAAUUCGUAGAUAUUGGGAAGAACACCGGUGGCGAAGGCGGCAACCUGGCUCAUGACUGACCCUGAGGCGCGAAACGCGUGGGGAGCAAACAGGAUUAGAUACCCUGGUAGUCCACGCUGUAAACGAUGUGUGCUAGAUGUUGGGUAACUUUGUUAUUCAGUGUCGCAGUUAACGCGUUAA
rnacentral:rRNA from 1 species